UCUGCCGCGUCACGACAAAGCAAAAAGGAUGCUCAUGGUUUGUUAGCAUGGAUAUAAUAUAAACUGCGCCCCUGUGAGGAAUAAUUAUCUGGCAGGGCUUCACGACUGCUAAACAUGUGACCAUAGCGUGUCAAUUCGUGUUUUUUUCUGCACCGCACUUUUCAGACCUGACAGAAAUAGUGAAAAGAACAGUUGACUACCACCAUUCCAUACACACGGACCCAUUAUUGUUCACGCAACAGAACAUGGACAUCAAGGACCAAGGAGCUCAAAUGGAACCGCUGCUGCCAACGGUGUCAACUCCUGGACGCAGAAGUGUGAGAAAUGAUGAAGAGGCUGUGGUGGACAGAGGUGGAACCCGGUCCAUGCUGAAAACCAACUUUGAAAAGGAGGAACUCGAAGGUCACAGGACACUCUACAUCGGGGUACAUGUCCCCCUGGGAAGGAAGAGCCAUCGGAGGCAUCGGCAUCAUGGACAUAGACACAGGAAGAGGAGCAGGGAGCGGGACUCUGGAGUGGAGGAUGGAAGAGAGUCUCCCACAUACAACACGCCAUCCCAGAGAGUGCAGUUCCUCCUGGGCACAGAGGAUGACGACGAGGAGCACAUCCCCCAUGACCUCUUCACUGAGCUGGACGAGAUCUGCCUGAAAGACGGAGAGGAAGCAGAGUGGAGGGAAACCGCCAGGUGGCUGAAGUUUGAGGAGGAUGUGGAGGAUGGAGGGGAGCGCUGGAGUAAGCCCUACGUGGCCACGCUGUCCCUGCACAGCCUGUUCGAGCUGCGCAGCUGCAUCCUCAAUGGCGUCGUGCUGCUCGACAUGAGGGCCAACUCCGUGGAGGAGGUAGCAGACAUGGUGUUGGACCAGCAGGAGACCACAGGUCCACUGGGGGACGAGGUGAGGAGGAAGGUGAGAGAGACCCUCCUCAAAACGCACCAUCACCAGAACCAGAAGAAGUUGGCCAAUCGCAUCCCCAUUGUCCGCUCCUUCGCUGACAUUGGCAAGAAGCAGUCCGAGCCCCACUCCAUGGACAAGAACGGUCAGGUGAUUUCUCCCCAGACCUCUCUGCCCAUCCCCAAUGAUGGCAAAGCUGAAGUGAGCAGAGAGAACAGCGCUGUGGACUUCAGUAAGAUAGACCUCCAUUUCAUGAAGAAGAUUCCCCCGGGAGCGGAAGCGUCCAACGUGUUGGUGGGUGAGGCGGAGUUCCUAGACAAACCUGUGGUGGCGUUUGUACGUCUCUCACCUGCGGUCAUGCUCAACGGGCUGGCUGAGGUCCCCAUCGUCACCAGGUUCUUGUUCAUUCUGCUGGGGCCUCUUGGGAAAGGGCCACAGUACCAUGAGAUUGGCCGAUCCAUUGCAACUCUCAUGACAGACGAGGUUUUCCAUGAUGUCGCCUACAAAGCGAAGGACCGCACUGAUCUGAUUGCUGGAAUCGAUGAGUUCCUUGACCAAGUGACUGUCCUGCCACCGGGGGAGUGGGAUCCCUCUAUAAGAAUAGAGCCACCAAAAAACGUACCGUCUCAAGAGAAAAGGAGGAGUGCAGCGCAGUGCGGCACAGACCCAGGGGAUGAAGAGGAGGAGGACGAGGGACAUGGGGGCCCGGAGCUGCAGCGGACAGGACGAUUCUGUGGUGGUCUCCUGUUGGACAUCAAACGCAAGGCGCCGCACUACCUGUCUGACUACACAGACGCUGUAAGCCUGCAGUGCUUGGCCUCCUUCCUCUUCCUGUACUGUGCAUGCAUGUCGCCUGUCAUCACGUUCGGGGGCCUACUAGGAGAGGCAACAGAAGGACGCAUAAGUGCAAUCGAAUCACUUUUUGGCGCCUCAAUGACGGGAAUAGCCUAUUCCCUGUUUGCUGGCCAGCCACUCACCAUUUUGGGCAGCACAGGGCCUGUACUGGUGUUUGAGAAGAUCUUGUACAAAUUCUGCAAGGAGUAUGGAUUAUCCUACCUCUCACUGAGAACCUGUAUAGGGCUGUGGACAGCGUUCCUCUGCCUGGUCCUAGUGGCCACAGAUGCCAGCUCCCUGGUCUGUUACAUCACCCGCUUCACAGAGGAGGCCUUCGCCUCGCUCAUCUGCAUCAUCUUCAUCUACGAGGCCUUGGAGAAGCUCAUCCACCUGGGGGAACACUACCCCAUCAACAUGAACAACAACCUGGACAAACUCACACAGUACUCGUGUUCAUGUGUUGAACCUCCGGAUCCAAGCAAUGCCACCAUACAGUACUGGGAGCAGAACAACAUCACUGCUUCUGAGGUCUACUGGGAGGCACUCGAGGUUAAGGACUGCAUGGAGAAAAGAGGAGAGUUUGUGGGCAGUGCCUGUGGCCCUCAUGGACCCUAUAUUCCAGAUGUUCUCUUCUGGUCUGUGGUUCUCUUCUUCUCCACUGUCUUCAUGUCAGCUUUCCUAAAGGAGUUCAAGUUCAGCCGUUACUUCCCCACCAAGUUGAGAGCUGUCAUCAGUGACUUUGCUGUGUUCAUCACCAUCUUUACCAUGGUCCUGGUGGACUAUGCCUUAGGGGUCCCAUCUCCAAAACUAAAAGUCCCCAGUGUGUUCAAGCCGACCAGAGAUGACCGUGGUUGGUUGAUCAGCCCGUUAGGCGGCAACCCUUGGUGGACCACCAUCGUGACAGUGAUCCCUGCUCUGCUCUGCACCAUCCUCAUCUUCAUGGACCAGCAGAUCACCGCGGUCAUCAUCAACAGGAAGGAGCACAAACUAAAGAAAGGCUGCGGGUACCAUUUGGACUUGUUCGUGGUGGGUGUCAUGCUGGGGGUAUGUUCCAUCAUGGGUUUGCCCUGGUUCGUGGCUGCCACCGUUCUCUCCAUCUCCCACGUCAACAGUCUGAAGCUGGAGUCGGAGUGCUCGGCCCCCGGGGAACAACCCAAGUUCCUGGGCAUCCGUGAGCAGCGCUUCACUGGCCUCAUGAUCUUCCUACUCAUGGGCUGCUCGGUGUUCAUGACCUCUGUGCUCAAGUACAUUCCCAUGCCUGUGUUGUAUGGAGUAUUCCUGUACAUGGGAGCAUCUUCGCUCAGAGGAAUACAGUUAUUUGACCGUCUGAAGCUGUUUGGCAUGCCAGCCAAGCACCAGCCUGACUUCAUCUACCUGAGACACGUUCCCCUGCGGAAGGUCCAUCUCUUCACCAUCAUCCAGCUCAGCUGCCUGGUCAUGCUCUGGGUCAUCAAGACCUCCAAUUAUGCCAUCGUCUUCCCCAUGAUGGUGUUGGCGCUGGUGUUCAUUCGGAAAUUGAUGGAUUGCUUCUUCACCAAGAGAGAGAUGAGCUGGCUGGAUGAUCUAAUGCCAGAGAGUAAGAAGAAGAAACUGGAGGAUGCUGAAGAAGAGGAGGAGGAGCAAAGUAUUUUGGGAGAGGAAGAUGGAGUAGUGCAGGUGCCGUUAGAAGGAUAUCAAAAGAGUGAAUCCGCACUCAACAUCACUGAUGAAAUGUCCAGAGGCUCUUUUGGAAACACGUGGAAUGUCAACUCUGACAACUCUAAAAAAGAGCUAGACUCAAAAAGUUCCCUUAUAUCCUCAUAGAUGCUGAAUCCCCCAAAGUUCAUCAACACUGAGAGUGCACAGCUCUUAGGAACUGCCGGUGUUAGGCAAAGCUUAUCCAAGAACAGUGGUAGGAAAGAAAAGAAGAGAAGAAAGAUGCAGAAGGGCUGCUUCAACAGGAAGUCAAGUUUAUGACGUUUCUCCAUUCACUGUGUUUUAAGCAAAUCAAUAUUGUGUGCCACAGUUUACCAUUCCUUUAUGUUUUGUCUUGUAAAUCUUUGUGUGUUCAAAAGCUUAAAACAGUCUUUUUUUUAGUUGACGUGUCCAAAACUGCUUCUUUGUGAGGCAACCUAAGGACAUUUAUUUAUUGUAUGUAUUUUGUAUGUUUUUGUAUUUUUUCCAGUAUCAUAAUAUUACAGCUGUUUGAAGUUGAUAAAUUAUCCAACUAGAUAAACACUCCAUUUAAAAGUUUGUGCAAUACUGCAGUUAAAAGACUAUGAAAGCAAGUAUAUAUAUAUACAGUGGGGCAAAAAAGUAUUUAGUCAGCCACCAAUUGUGCAAGUUCUCCCACUUAAAAAGAUGAGAGAGGCCUGUAAUUUUCAUC